rnacentral:rRNA from 1 species
GUGGGGAAUCUUAGACAAUGGGCGCAAGCCUGAUCUAGCCAUGCCGCGUGAGCGAUGAAGGCCUUAGGGUUGUAAAGCUCUUUCGUGGGGGAAGAUAAUGACUGUACCCCAAGAAGAAGCCCCGGCUAACUCCGUGCCAGCAGCCGCGGUAAUACGGAGGGGGCUAGCGUUGUUCGGAAUUACUGGGCGUAAAGCGCACGUAGGCGGACUGGAAAGUCAGGGGUGAAAGCCCGGGGCUCAACCCCGGAACUGCCUUUGAAACUACCAGUCGUGAGUACGAGAGAGGUGAGUGGAAUUCGGAGUGUAGAGGUGAAAUUCGUAGAUAUUCGGAGGAACAACAGUGGCGAAGGCGGCUCACUGGCUCGAUACUGACGCUGAGGUGCGAAAGCGUGGGGAGCGAACAGGAUUAGAAACCCGGGUAGUCC